GAUGAACGCUGGCGGCGUGCCUAAUACAUGCAAGUCGAGCGAACCACUUCGGUGGGAAGCGGCGAACGGGUGAGUAACACGUAGGUGAUCUGCCCAUCAGACGGGGACAACGAUUGGAAACGAUCGCUAAUACCGGAUAGGACGAAAGUUUAAAGAUGCUCCUGGCAUCACUGAUGGAUGAGCCUGCGGCGCAUUAGCUAGUUGGUGGGGUAAAGGCCUACCAAGGCGACGAUGCGUAGCCGACCUGAGAGGGUGAACGGCCACACUGGGACUGAGACACGGCCCAGACUCCUACGGGAGGCAG
rnacentral:rRNA from 1 species